UGGAUGCUGGUACUCCUGGCAGUCAGGAGGGAGCCUUUGCUCUCAUCAACCUCCCACUGGGAAGAUGGUGCCAAGCUCAGCUUAAGCAGGUAAACGGUAGGAUUCAGUUAACAUCGCGCGGUUGAAGAGCAAGAGCUGUCUAUGCAAUUCACCCUGGCUGUGAUUUUACUGGGAGGUUUUCAACAGAGGGCUGUCCAUCUUCAUCCCAUCUUGCAUCACUUAGCGCACAAGUUCCACGCCGCAGCCCCGUCGGACACUCUCUGCAUACCUGGGGAGCAGGAAAUGCCUUUUUCAACACCCUAAGGACACGAUGUUCUUGUAUCUACCUUGCUGAUGCUGCCUGCAGAGGGAAAAAAUACACUCCUGGCUCCUAAGGUUUAUGGAACUCUUGGUACAGCGGGAAUUCGCGUGAAGUUGCUCUUCCUCUGGGAAUUGUGGAACUUUUCACAGGACAUGAGACAAACCCCAGUCGAGGGUAGACCAAGAAGCUGAACGUGGGUCUCCCGUGCCCUACCUUAGCACCCUAACCACUAUGCCAGCCUUCCUCCUGAAAAGCACCCCAAGGGGGUUAUGUGCAGUUGAUAAGCUCACGGCUGGCAUAACGAAGAGAGAAUGUUCUGUAACCUGUUAAUGAAA